GACGAACGCUGGCGGCGUGCUUAACACAUGCAAGUCGAACGGAAAGGCCCUGCUUUUGUGGGGUGCUCGAGUGGCGAACGGGUGAGUAACACGUGAGUAACCUGCCCUUGACUUUGGGAUAACUUCAGGAAACUGGGGCUAAUACCGGAUAGGAGCUCCUGCUGCAUGGUGGGGGAUGGAAAGUUUCGGCGGUUGGGGAUGGAAUCGCGGCUUAUCAGCUUGUUGGUGGGGUAGUGGCUUACCAAGGCUUUGACGGGUAGCCGGCCUGAGAGGGUGACCGGCCACAUUGGGACUGAGAUACGGCCCAGACUCCUACGGGAGGCAGCAGUGGGGAAUAUUGCACAAUGGGCGGAAGCCUGAUGCAGCAACGCCGCGUGCGGGAUGACGGCCUUCGGGUUGUAAACCGCUUUCGCCUGUGACGAAGCGUGAGUGACGGUAAUGGGUAAAGAAGCACCGGCUAACUACGUG
rnacentral:rRNA from 1 species